AGUGAACGCUGGCGGUAGGCCUAACACAUGCAAGUCGAACGGCAGCACAGUAAGAGCUUGCUCUUACGGGUGGCGAGUGGCGGACGGGUGAGGAAUACAUCGGAAUCUACUUUUUCGUGGGGGAUAACGUAGGGAAACUUACGCUAAUACCGCAUACGACCUACGGGUGAAAGCAGGGGAUCUUCGGACCUUGCGCGAUUGAAUGAGCCGAUGUCGGAUUAGCUAGUUGGCGGGGUAAAGGCCCACCAAGGCGACGAUCCGUAGCUGGUCUGAGAGGAUGAUCAGCCACACUGGAACUGAGACACGGUCCAGACUCCUACGGGAGGCAGCAGUGGGGAAUAUUGGACAAUGGGCGCAAGCCUGAUCCAGCCAUACCGCGUGGGUGAAGAAGGCCUUGGGGUUGUAAAGCCCUUUUGUUGGGGAAGAAAAGCAGCAGGUUAAUACCCCGCUGUUCUGACGGUACCCAAAGAAUAAGCACCGGCUAACUUCGUG
rnacentral:rRNA from 1 species